UACGUAGGGUGCAAGCGUUAAUCGGAAUUACUGGGCGUAAAGCGUGCGCAGGCGGUGAUGUAAGACAGUUGUGAAAUCCCCGGGCUCAACCUGGGAACUGCAUCUGUGACUGCAUCGCUGGAGUGCGGCAGAGGGGGAUGGAAUUCCGCGUGUAGCAGUGAAAUACGUAGAUAUCUGGAGGAACACCGGUGGCGAAGGCGGCGACCUGGUCCUAUACUGGCACUCAUACACGAAAGCGUGGGGAUCAAACAGG
rnacentral:rRNA from 1 species